UACGUAGGGGCCUAGCGUUGUCCGGAUUUAUUGGGCGUAAAGGGCUCGUAGGCGGUCUGUUGCGUCGGGAGUGAAAACUUACAGCUUAACUGUGAGCGUGCUUUCGAUACGGGCAGACUUGAGGCAUUCAGGGGAGAACGGAAUUCCUGGUGUAGCGGUGAAAUGCGCAGAUAUCAGGAGGAACACCGGUGGCGAAGGCGGGUCUCUGGGCCGAUACUGACGCUGAGGAGCGAAAGCGUGGGGAGCGAACAGG
rnacentral:rRNA from 1 species